rnacentral:rRNA from 1 species
AGUGAACGCUGGCGGUAGGCCUAACACAUGCAAGUCGAACGGCAACACAGUAAGAGCUUGCUCUUACGGGUGGCGAGUGGCGGACGGGUGAGGAAUACAUCGGAAUCUACUUUUUCGUGGGGGAUAACGUAGGGAAACUUACGCUAAUACCGCAUACGACCUACGGGUGAAAGCAGGGGAUCUUCGGACCUUGCGCGAUUGAAUGAGCCGAUGUCGGAUUAGCUAGUUGGCGGGGUAAAGGCCCACCAAGGCGACGAUCCGUAGCUGGUCUGAGAGGAUGAUCAGCCACACUGGAACUGAGACACGGUCCAGACUCCUACGGGAGGCAGCAGUGGGGAAUAUUGGACAAUGGGCGCAAGCCUGAUCCAGCCAUACCGCGUGGGUGAAGAAGGCCUUCGGGUUGUAAAGCCCUUUUGUUGGGAAAGAAAAGCAGCAGGUUAACACCCCGCUGUUCUGACGGUACCCAAAGAAUAAGCACCGGCUAACUUCGUG